UACGGAGGGUGCAAGCGUUGUCCGGAUUUACUGGGCGUAAAGGGUGCGUAGGCGGUCUUUCAAGUCAGGAGUGAAAGGCUACGGCUCAACCGUAGUAAGCUCUUGAAACUGUAAGACUUGAGUGCAGGAGAGGAGAGUGGAAUUCCGGAUGUAGCGGUGGAAUGCGUAGAGAUCCGGAAGAACACCGGUGGCGAAGGCGGUGAGCUGGGCAGUUGCUGACACUGAGGCGCGACAGCGUGGGGAGCAAACAGG
rnacentral:rRNA from 1 species